rnacentral:rRNA from 1 species
GACCCCCCGAAACUAAGCGAGCUACUCCAAAGCAGCCUCAUAGGGCCAACCCGUCUCUAUAGCAAAAGAGUGGGAAGACUUUAGAGUAGAGGUGAUACACCUACCGAGCUUAGAGAUAGCUGGUUAUUCAAGAAAAGGAUUUUAGUCCACCUUCAAGUUUUUCAAGUACUAUAAAACACCCAACAAACUUAAAAGUCAUUCAAAUAAGGUACAGCCUGUUUGAAAAAGGAGACAGCCUACAAUAUAGGGUAAUGACAUACCUUAUGUGACCAAGUCGGCCUAAAAGCAGCCAACUUCCAAAAAGCGUCCAAGCUUCAUCACAAGCCUUCAUCAAUUCCACAAUUAACUCAUAACCCACAACCACUACCGAAUACUCCUAUACCCCCUAUAGGAAAUAUUAUGCUAGAACUAGUAAAAAGAAGAAGAGCUUCUCCAAAAUGUAAGCGUAAGCCUAAAUGAACCCUCACCGGCACUUACCGCCAUAAACCCGUAGCAUCAACACAUCAAGAAAAUCAUGCUCCAACUGACGUUAACCUUACACUAGAACAUUCCCGGAAAGAUUAAAAAAGGGGGAAGGAACUCGGCAAACAUUA